AUUCCAGCUCUAAUAGCGUAUAUUUAAGUUCUUGUAGUUAGAAAGCUUGUAGUUGGAGCUUGGGUCGUAAAGGUCGGUCCGCCUACUCGGUGUGCACCUGCCCUCCCAUCCCUUUUGUCGAUGACGUGCUCCUGGCCUUAAUUGGCUGGGUCGUGGCUUCAGCGUUGUUACUUUGAAAAAAUUAGAGUGCUCAAAGCAAGAUUAUGCUUUUAAUACAUUAGCAUAGAAUAACGUGAUAGGAGUCUGGUCCUAUUGUGUUGGCCUUCGGGAUUGGAGUAAUGAUUAAUAGGGACUGUCGGGGGCAUUCGUAUUUCAUUUUCGGAGGUAAAAUUAUUGGAUUUAUGAAAGACGGACCACUGCGAAAGCAUUUUCCAGGGAUGUUUUCAUCA
rnacentral:rRNA from 1 species